ACUACAGUAUAUAUGUUAUUAUUAAUUUUAUUUUCUAUUUUCUAUUAUCUAAAAGAAGAAAUAGAAGUAGAAUCACUGAGAUGAGAUGAGAUAUUAUUAUAAUAUCCUGAGCUUUUAAUUUGCAUCCGUUAUUAAUUUUAUUCUUGGAAGCAAGUUAUAAUUCCUAGUUAAAGGGAUUAUUUUAUUAUUUUCAGAGAUGAGAAUGAUGAUAAAUAAGAAAUAUUAUUAGUCGACUACUUAUUGCUCGACUAAUUGAAGUGACGGAUGUUAUUUAAUUAUUUAUAGAUUUAUUUGUUGUUAGAAAUAAGAAUCCCAUUUUUUAUAUAUAUAAUUAUAGAUGUAUUUGAAGCUUAUCUCAAUUUCAGUUGGAAUGAAGCUAGCAUAUAUAUUGAUUUGAUUACAUAUUAUAUCAUUAUAUUAGUGAGAAUAGUAUUUGUGGCUAUUAGAAAUAGCAAUUCCGUAAACUUCCAUAAGAAUGCAUAUAUUUUAUAUUUAUUUAUUUUAUUUGGGAUAGCUAUCAACAAAUCUUAAGAAGGAAGCCAGUUCGUCGUUUCUUCCCCUCCCUCUUUAUUGAACCUCAGUUUUAGUUUGCUUUCAACCUUCAAGGAGAUUCAGCCGCCGCCUCUGCUCCGACCGCCGUCGGGUCCAAGUCCGGCGUCUCGUCUGUUCUUCCCUGGUGCCCCUCGCACUACUCUCAUCUUCUCUCAAUUUAGCGAAGAACCCAAAUGAGAAGCCCUAAUUUCAAAAUCCGAAAUCGUCGUCACCCGAGCCCGAAAUUCGGCAAUACAACAGCCUCCUCUUCGACGUGGUCGAAGUUCUCGCACCGGAAGUCCUCUCUGUUCCCCCUUCUUUUCCGAUGUGGAGCCCUAAUUCUUAGAAGAAGGAAAUUACUAUGGAAGGCCAACGAACGGCUGAGCUUCGCCCGUCUCUGCCUUGAAUCCAUGCUCGAGAAGCAGAGAAAGAGACAGAGAGUGAGAUCGAGGGGGAGAGCAGCGAGAGAGGUUGAGAGAGAAAGAUCGAGAGGGAGCAUACCUGAGGCAGGGGUGGCGGUGUAAUGGUGACAGCGGCGGUGACGGCGGGCCUUGCCGGAGGGGCGGAUUUUAGAGGGGAAAAUGGAGGCAGAAAACCCUAGAAUUUGGGCAUUCUUGAGGUAAGAUAGCUAAAUGUUUGAUGCUUAUAUAAUUGAACUCUUAGGAGCGUGGAAUGAGAUUAUAUGAUAGAAAUUGGGGGAUAUUGAGCAUGUUACUAUGUGUUGAGCCAAUUUUAGUUUAAGAAUAAGGGAAGAACUACUUUUAAUAUUGAUUGGAGAAGUUGAGGUGAUUGAUUGUGUUAUAAUUUGCUUGUUAUAUGUUGAUGUGGUAAACGUGAGUGAAGUUUUGAGUUAAAGCAUUCUAACAUGUAGCAAGAUGAUGUAAUUGGAUCUCCACUCUCUUAUGUGGCCAAAAUAUGAGAUGUAUGUUAAGUUGAAACAAAGGGGCUUUGCUGUCAGUUUUCGGCUUGACAGGGCAGUAUGUUUCGAGGUGCUUCUGAUGGUGUUCUCAUAGUCUAAAUAACUUGAAAUUUUGACUGUAAUAACUUCAUCAUGUGUAGUCGUUCUCUGUAAAAUUUUAGCUAAAUCCGAGACCAUUAGAUAUGCUAAAUUAUUUUCUGAAAAGUACUGCGCGAAGCAGCAAGGUUUUGUGGCAGAUUCUGCCUUUUGUGAGAUAAUUUCAUAUACACUUGAGAUAUUGUAUUUUUGUAACUUUCUAAUAAAAAUAGACUUUGAGAGAUUUCUAAAAAUGUAAAGCUUGUAUUUUUCUUUAAAGAGGUUGAUUUUAUAUGAUAUUUCAAAGUUGAGAUUCAUAUAUGAUUACAUAUUUGAGAUUUCUUACCUGAGCAAGUUAUUAAUAGAACUAUGCUAAGUGAUUGAUGUUUAGUUAUUAAUUGUAAGCUAAUCUAUAUAGAAUGGAUUAGUUUACUCUUAAGCUUUUCUCAAUUUGAGAUAUCCCAAGAGAUGUGACGUUAUUAUUUGCUUUUAGUUAAGUCCAUAUAAGUAGAACACUCAGAUUAGAGGAUGCAACUUUCAAGUGAUAGAAGUGUCAUUCAAGAUUUACUUUCUACUUACUUAUUAUCCAAUCUUACCUGGGAACCUCAUUAUAAUAAAGGUUCGAGUGGCAGUGUAGAGUGAACAAGCAAGGACUUCUACUUCAUUAAGUAUAUCAGGUUAAGUUGUGGUGCAGAUGGAAGCGAACAGAGCAAAUUCUUUGAUGUAUAUGUAUUAAACCAGGCUCAGGAUUCCAUGUCUUCAUACAUGUAAUCCACAUGAAUUAUUCCGCUGCAACACUUAGUCUAUUCUACCUUAUUGAGGUGUUGUACAUGUUUUAAAUCAAUAGCGUUGAGAAUUAUGUCACUUGAAAGUUAGACAACUUGUCGUUGUGUAUUGUAAGUUGUCUACUCAUGAGUUUUAAAAGUGUUGCCUACGAUUAUUCAAUAUUAUAGUGAUUUAUUGUUAAA